rnacentral:rRNA from 1 species
GGAGCAUCAGGUGGCCGACUUUGCAUGCAAGGUCAGACAAUAGCUGGACUUCGGUCUGGUAGUGGCGAACGGGUGAUGUCGGAACCUGGUAGCGGGGAUAACUUACGCGGCGGCAAACUAAUACCGCAUACGCCCUUCCAGGAAAGCGGGGGACCUUCCGGGCCUCGCACUAUUAGAAGCGGCCGAUAUCGGUUAAGCCUGGUUGGUGGAGGCGCUUGAAAACCGCCAAGGCGACGAUCCGUAACUGGUUGAAGAUAACCGCACUGGGACGGGAACACCCGACUGAACUCACCGAGAGCAGCAAUGAGAAAUUUGAACCGAGCCACGGUCAACCAUCCCGCGUGUACGAUGAAGGCCUUCGGGUUGUAAAGCACUUUGGCAGGAAGAAGCUUGGCGUGCAGCUGACGAAAUACCUGCAGAAUGGCUUCGAAAGUAACCGUUACCGGCAACCGCGCGGUAUUACGUAGGGGUGCAAGCGUUAAUCGGAAUUGCGGGCGUAAAGCGUGCACCGGGCGGUUCGGAAGAAGUGUAAAAUCUGGAAAACCUUAACUUCCCAGAACUGCAUUUUUAACUGCCGAGCUAUUGUCAGAGAGGUAAUUCCGCAUUGUAGUGAAAUGCGUAGAUAUGGAGGAACACCGAUGGCGAAAGCGGCUCCUUAGGAUAACGCAUGACGCUCAUGCAGCGUAGAGACAAACAGGAUUAGAUACCCUGGUAGUCACGCCCUAAACGAUGUCAGCUAGCUGUUGGAACCUUCGGGCCUUGGUGCUUACCAACAGCGUGAAGUUGACCGCCUGGGGAGGUACGGUCGCAAGAUUAAAACUCCAAAGGAAUUGACGAGACCGCACAAGCGGUGGAUGAUGUGGAUUAAUUCGAUGCAGCAUGAAAACCACCUACUGCCAGCAUGUCUGAAUCCCGAAGAGAUUUGGGAGUGCUCGCAAAGGAGCCAGACACGGGUGCUGCGCUUGGCUGUCGUGGAAACAUUGUGUCAAUGAGAUGUUGGAGUUAAGUCCGCAGCGAGCUGUACUUAUCGAUGGUUACUACUGAAAAGGGCACUCUAAUGAGACUGCCGAUGAUCGACCGGAGGAAGUUGAGACGACGUCAAAUCUCAUAGCUAUGGGUGGGCUUCACACGUCAGCCGCAAUGUGGUCAGGACGGAAGUUAACCAGCCCGCGAGGAGCAAUCAAACCGAUCGUAGUCCGGAUCACCCAGUCUGCUCGACUGCGUGAAGUGGAAUCAUGGUAAUCGCUGAUUCAACAUAAUAAACGUGAAUACAUCUGGAGUCUUGUACCCACCGCCGUCACUGUGGGAGUGGGUUUUACAGUAGUUAAGCCUAAUAAUGGGAGGCAGUACCACGGUAAGUUCGCGGCUGGGGUGAUGCAGCAACAAGGGUAG